rnacentral:rRNA from 1 species
AUUGAACGCUGGCGGCAUGCCUUACACAUGCAAGUCGAACGGCAGCACGGGAGCAAUCCUGGUGGCGAGUGGCGAACGGGUGAGUAAUGUAUCGGAACGUACCUUUCAGUGGGGGAUAACGUAGCGAAAGUUACGCUAAUACCGCAUAUUCUGUGAGCAGGAAAGCAGGGGAUCGCAAGACCUUGCGCUGAUUGAGCGGCCGAUAUCAGAUUAGCUAGUUGGUGAGGUAAAGGCUCACCGAGGCGACGAUCUGUAGCGGGUCUGAGAGGAUGAUCCGCCACACUGGAACUGAGACACGGUCCAGACUCCUACGGGAGGCAGCAGUGGGGAAUUUUGGACAAUGGGCGCAAGCCUGAUCCAGCCAUGCCGCGUGAGUGAAGAAGGCCUCGG